rnacentral:rRNA from 1 species
UGUAUAAUGGGUCAGCGACUUAUAUUCUGUAGCAAGGUUAACCGAAUAGGGGAGCCGAAGGGAAACCGAGUCUUAACUGGGCGUUAAGUUGCAGGGUAUAGACCCGAAACCCGGUGAUCUAGCCAUGGGCAGGUUGAAGGUUGGGUAACACUAACUGGAGGACCGAACCGACUAAUGUUGAAAAAUUAGCGGAUGACUUGUGGCUGGGGGUGAAAGGCCAAUCAAACCGGGAGAUAGCUGGUUCUCCCCGAAAGCUAUUUAGGUAGCGCCUCGUGAAUUCAUCUCCGGGGGUAGAGCACUGUUUCGGCAAGGGGGUCAUCCCGACUU